rnacentral:rRNA from 1 species
GCGGCGAACGGGUGAGUAACACGUGAGGAACCUGCCCCAAAGACCGGGAUAACUCUCCGAAAGGAGAGCUAAUACCGGAUAUCCUCUUCGGCUCGCAUGGGCUGAUGCGGAAAUGGAUUCCGCUUUGGGAGGGCCUCGCGGCCUAUCAGCUUGUUGGUGAGGUAACGGCUCACCAAGGCGUCGACGGGUAGCUGGUCUGAGAGGACGAUCAGCCACACUGGGACUGAGACACGGCCCAGACUCCUACGGGAGGCAGUAGUGGGGAAUCUUGCGCAAUGGGCGAAAGCCUGACGCAGCAACGCCGCGUGGGGGAUGAAGGCUUUCGGGUUGUAAACCCCUUUCAGCAGGGACGAUUAUGACGGUACCUGCAGAAGAAGGACCGGCCAACUACGUGCCAGCAGCCGCGGUAAUACGUAGGGUCCAAGCGUUGUCCGGAUUUAUUGGGCGUAAAGAGCUCGUAGGCGGUUCGGUAAGUCGGAUGUGAAAACUCGGGGCUCAACCCCGAGACGCCAUCCGAUACUGCUGUGACUUGAGUCUGGUAGGGGAACACGGAAUUCCUGGUGUAGCGGUGAAAUGCGCAGAUAUCAGGAGGAACACCGAUGGCGAAGGCAGUGUUCUGGGCCAGUACUGACGCUGAGGAGCGA